GUCCGGUUUUCACACUUUUAUUGUAAAGCUCGGGAAUAAUUACACGGGUCUUUCAUUGACAGCUCAGCAAACAAACCGGAAACGAACCGAACCGGAGGGGGUAGGGGCGGUGCCUGCGCAUGCUCGCGGCGGGAGAGACACGGCCCCCCUCCCCACUAGAUAACCCGAGGAGACACAGUCUCCCCUCCCCAUGGGCAGACACACCCGCCCGAAACCCCAUGGGCGGGACACAGUCCCCCCUCCCAGAGAAGUCCCCAGUGGAGACGCCCCUUAAGAGACUUUCUCAUGGCCAACACAAGCCCUCCCAACACCCGGAGACAGCCCCGACCCAGGGAAGAAAUGGCUCCAGAGGCCCUACCCUCGGGAGAGAGAGGUAUCCCAGGGCUCCUAGGAGAAAAGACAACUCAGAGAUGCCCAGCCUCAUCCUAAAGUGCUGCAGGGCAGAGAAACCCCCAUAGGAGAGAUGGGGGUAGGGCCAGAAACAUCCCUUCCCAGACGUGUUUCAGAGAUAGCCCCCUUCCCUGGGAAGAGAGAUGGCCCGAAACUGACUUGCCUUAAGUACUCCCAGGAACCCUGGGAGGAAAACAGGCUCCCCAGAGAGCCUGGGUAAUUGGGGGAGACAUGCUCCCGUGGUCCUCAGCGGGAACACAUGUCCCCCGGAGACUCCCAAGGGGAGAGAUAGGGCCUAGAGAGACCCCAGAGGUGAGGGAUGCCCAGAGAACUUCCCCCCACCCCGGAAUGUGAAACAUGCUUCAAGGACCCUAGGAGAGAAAUAUGUCCCCAUAUACCCUCCCCCUACGGAGAGACAUGCCCUGAAGUAGGGGGAUGGGGACCGACUAGGUCCCCUCUGGGAAGACACAGACUGGGUCAGGCUGGGUUUGAGGGGGGCUCUCCUCUGGCCAAAUGUCGCCUAUUGGUACAUAAAACUGUACGCGACACAGGCAUUGGGGAGGGGCUUCACAGACCUAGGACCCACAGGGAUAGUCCCCAGUGCUGUCGCCAACCCCUGCCCACCUUUGGUUUCAUCUCUCCAGUGCCCAGUUGGUGACAGACUCAGUGCCCUGGCCCCAACCAGGGGGCUGGGGGCUCUGUCUUUGCCUGUGGGAAGGGCUUCUCAGCUCUCCCAGCCAUCUGGGCCACCCUCUUUCUUCUGGCUUCUCCAUUGUGCAAAAUGCUCCUCUGCUCUUCUGCUCAGUGCUCAGGGGUCUCUAAGACCAGGGCAAGGUACCCAGGCCACUAGGGGCUUCCAGUGGGAGUCCACUGACCCCAGGAAUGCCGCCUGUCUGGACCACCUUCUCCACCAAGCAAAUGGGCCUCAUACAAUCUUCUUGCCCGAAUCCUGACCUCCAGGACCCAGGACAAUCCUUGAGGCCACUGUUCCACCAGCUGGGCACCCAAUACUACCAACUCCAAGACUAUUGCACCUGCCCCAUUUGUGCAGGGGAAAGGGGCUGUCUCUUUAACAAGCCCCAAGCCCAUCUCCUGGGCCUCCCCAAGGGAAAGGAGCCUUUGGCCAACCCCUAGACCUGGCUGCUGCCACCCCAUCCCAUUCUACCCCUUCCCCUCUGUAGAAGGGCUUCGUAUGCCAGGGCUACCAGCCUAACAAUGCUCUCCUUCCUAGCACUGUCACCCCAAGCCAAGUUGGGGGUAAGGGGCAGAUAAAUAGGGUGAUUCUUCAGGCCCCUGGCUUUUCCGGGGUGGGGGUGGGGUCUCUGGGGUACAAGAGUCAAGACCCCAGCAGCACAGCUCCCAAAGGCACCAGACGACCCCGCAGCCUGUACCCACCGCUCGCAAUCUUGGACCACCUCCCCAAGCUUAGACUAAGUCAAGCAAGGGCCAUACCCUGAGUCUCCAGCCUCCCAGCCUGGGCCCCUAGGGAGCUGGAGAGGUAUGGGCCAAGGCAGUGGGGGUUUCUGGAAGGAAGAGGGGCUGAGGCUUUGAGAUGGCCACAGUGGGAGACGGGGGCUCUGCAGGACGCCCCUUACACCCUGGCCCCCUGAGGUGAAGAAGAGAACUUCACCUCAUCAUGGCUGACUGGGCUUCUCUGCCCCCCAACCUCCCUACCCCCUCCCCCAUGGGACCCCUGACCCUGACAAAGGGAAGCCCAACUGGAAGAAGGGGGCCUGGAGCCCAGGGUGCCCUGAGGCAGCCCUCCCACCCCCUGAGAUCAAGGCAAUGGUGGUUUUACAGGCUGACGGGUCAGUCAUGGCAGGGGCUGGGGGUUGAGAGGGCAGGGAGGGGGCAGGAUGCAGGCCCCCUAUAUCGGGAGCAGCACCCAGCCACCCCCUGAGCAAACCUUCCUGCUCCCAACUCACCCAACCAGGCCAGAGGCACAGUCAUCCCACCCCUGUCCAGCUGCCCCCCACAGCCUCAGGGCCCCUCUGUGAUGCUCAUCUGGAUGUGGGAGGCCAGCCUGAGCGGGGAUCCCCCCAGGGCACAGCGCAACAGUUCCAAAAAAAUAGAGAUUUGUAUUUUUAAGAAAAAUUAAAUAAAAGCCCAGCUCUGCUGAUAGGCAAAUGUUACCCCCGUCCCCACCCCCACCCACCCGUUGUUUCCCUGGCCUGCACCCCCAUCCCACCAUGGCCCCAGGGGUAUUUACAACAUGGAACAAUAGAGGCCUGGGUUGGGGGGCACUGCGGCAGGGAGGAGGGGGCACAGGGCAGGUCCCCCCCCAGAGGGGUCCCCCAAGACAACACGACAUCAACAAGAAAAGUUGCAAAUCAGGCAGAAAUGGGGACGUCAUUCCAAGGUCCUUAUAUACAGACACUGCAUGACCAGCAGGGAAUGGGGGCCCAGAUGGGACUAGGCGUGGGCAUGUGGCAGGCAGGUGGGCCAGUCCAGGAGCAGCACGGGAAAACAAGGGAAGGAGCCCAGUCAUUGCAGAGGAGCCCUCUUGGGCAUCAGAUGGGGGAAGCCCCAUAAAG
rnacentral:lncRNA from 1 species